rnacentral:lncRNA from 1 species
AGAAAAUGAAGAAAUAGAUAGGAAAAAGGAAAUAGAAAAAAUAAAACAACAAACUACAGAAGAAAUACGAAAAAUAGAAGAAACUAAAAAUAGUAGGAUUGCUGAAUUAGAAAAAGAACUACAAAUGUUAAAAGAUUUGUAUGAAGAAAGACAAAAGGAAAAGGAAGAAAAAGAUAAAGAACAAAAAUUACUAAACGAGAUAAAUCAAUUUAAAGAAAAAUUAGAAAUAAACAAUAAAGAAAUAAAAAACAAGGAAUUAGAAAUAAAUAAUAUAGAUGUUGAAGAGACAGAUAAUUAUGAUUCAG